UACGUAGGGGUGCAAGCGUUAAUCGGAAUUACUGGGCGUAAAGCGUGCGCAGGCGGUUGUGUAAGACAGAUGUGAAAUCCCCCGGGCUCAACCUGGGAACUGCAUUUGUGACUGCACGGCUGGAGUGCGGCAGAGGGGGGAUGGAAUUCCGCGUGUAGCAGUGAAAUGCGUAGAUAUGCGGAGGAACACCGAUGGCGAAGGCAAUCCCCUGGGCCUGCACUGACGCUCAUGCACGAAAGCGUGGGGAGCAAACAGG
rnacentral:rRNA from 1 species